rnacentral:lncRNA from 10 species
CAUUUUGAAAGUGACCUCAUCUGCUGAGUGAGCUGCAGGGCCGGGAUCCAACACCAGGUGCUGAAUGUGGAGAGGCAAAUAAAAUGGACACACAAGCCUUGACCUCUUGGAGUGAUUAUGAUCAAGAUUAUGAUCAUUGUGACACACAUUAAUCCAGGAAGCAAACAACCAAAUAACUCAUCACCUGUUGGGGAUUCCUUCAGGGAUUUGAGAAGUGCUAGUAAACCACUCACACAAUGAUUUCUCCAGGUGUGAAAACAGAGCUGCAGAGGUGACACUUGGAUGCCCCCUGGCCAGGUGGUGACUAGAGGUCAGAUCUCUUCUCUAGUUGAGUGGUAGUCCAGGUUCCUGGGCUCUUUCCGCCCUGACCUACAGGCCUGACAGAGCCGUCAAAACAUGAGAGCCCUCUUUCUAAUCAUCUCACUUCUUGGAAAAAAUAGAAUGAUCUGUGAGUCUGUGAGCAUAGCUCUGCUUCAUGCUGCAGAUCUUCAGGUUGGCUGGGGUGGCUGAGUGUGUGGCUCAGACUGAAGGAACAGCAGCUACCCAAGGUUAGCUCUUCUCCUGGUGAAGCGUGGAAAGAACAGACGGGUGAGUGGGCAGACAGACGCCUUUUGAGACCUCUUCAGAGAAGGGGUACACUGUCAGGUGCACACACAUGCGUUAGUACAGCAAGUCAUAUGCUUGCAAUAUGAUUUUCAAUACCAGUAGGGAGGGGAGAAAAACUGCCCCCUGUAGGGGAGGUGCUACAACAUCACAUGGUGGAAGGUGAUGUUAAUUUUUUUUUUUUUUUUUUUUUGAGACAGAGUCUCGCUAUGCCGUCAGGCUGGAGUGCAGUGGUGCUAUCUUGGCUCACUGCAAGCUCCGCCUCCUGGGUUCACGCCAUUCUCCCACCUCAGCCUCCCGAGUAGCUGGGACUACAGGUACCCGACACCACGCCCGGCUAAUAUUUUGUAUUUUUAGUAGAGACGGGGUUUCACCGUGUUAUCCAGGGUGGUCUAGAUCUCCUGAUCUCGUGAUCCACCCGCCUUGGCCUCCCAAAGAGCUGGGAUUACAGGCGUGAGCCACCACACCUGGCCGAUGUUAAUUAAUUUUGUAGGGAGGUUGUGAAAAAUUAUCAGCAAUAAUUCAAUCUGUCUCAGGGGUAAAGUAGCUAGACUUGACUUUUUGAGAUGAUUCACUUGGGAAGUUGUGUGGAAAGCAGAUUCGAGAGAGGUGAUGCAGUAGUCAGAGGGACCAGUGAGAAGGGCCAGGUGAGACUUAGUGAGAACCUAGGCUGAGUAACAGUGAGCUGGGGGGAAAUAGAGUUGACUGAAGAAAAUUAUAUGAUAUAAAACCAUCAGGACUAAAGACGUAGGGUCAUUUAUGGCUGGUUUUCAGAAAUCUCCAUUUAAUAUACCCAACUUAAAACACUGUCCUAGCUUCCCUUGCAGCUGGGAGGUGAUUAUAUGGUAAGCUCUGCCUAUUAGAACAUAAACAAAAUUCACUGGGUCAAUUACCAGGAUUUUUUUUUUUUUUUUUGAGACAGGGUCUCACUCUUUCGACCAGAGUGGAGUGCAGUGGCACGAUCCUGGCUCACCACAACCUCCGCGUCCCAGGCUCAAGCGAUUCUCCUGCCUCAGCCUCCCGAUAGCUGGGAUUAUAGGCACGCACCACCAUGCCCAGCUAAUUUUUGUAUUUUUAGUAAAGAUGGGGUUUCACCAUAUUGGCCAGGCUGGUCUUGAAUUCCUGACCUCAAAUGAUCCACCUGCAUCGGACGCCCAAAGUGCUGGGAUUACAGUUAUGAGCCACCGCCCCCGGCCACCAGGAAAAGUUUUUAAAGGGGCAUGUGCCCCUUUGCAGUUGUUAUUACCUUCUUCCUGCCUUACACGUAGCUGGAUGGCUAGAGUUCCACCAACCAUGUUAUGGACACGAGGCAAUCAUCCCAAAGGGGACUGAGCUGAGAGAAGGAGCCUAAGAUUUUGACGACCUCAUGAAGAUACCAUACCAGCCCUCAGCUGCCUCUCUUUAGAAUACCAGGUAGGUGAGAAAAAAUAAAUGACUUUUUUAAAGUGACUGUUUUUUGAGUUUCUGUUUUUAGCAGUCAAAUGAAGCUCCUGACACCAUACAUGACCUUAGCAACAUGAAGCAACAUUAUUCAUUCAUGCAGAUAAUUAUUAUUCUGAAUCAAUGACCAAAAUUAGAAACAUGAAAACCUUAAGGUGAUCUAGCUCAACUGUAAUCCACUGCUAGUGUAUAUAAUUUGUGGAGACUUUUUUUUUUUUUUUGGCUUUCCUUCUUCCUUGUCUUCCCAACACAAGUCUAAUUUUUCCUCUCAGCCAUCUCUCUGAUUUCUCAUAUCUAUUUGGUGUUAACUGAUCAGAGGGAGUUAGCAGAGAAGGGGGCUGGCUGUUUCAUUUUAGAAUACGACUCUUGAAGAACCCGUGAUGGAGGAAUAAACAGAAGUCCUGGUUCCUAUUUCUAGACAAGAGGCUGCCCAAUGUAAUAUGUAAUAUCAGUAAUAGUAAGGUUGCAUUUCUGUAGGGUGGCUCGAUCAAGCGCUUCUUGUAUACCAUAUCAUUAGCUGCCCGAGGGCCAGUAAGGUCGGAUGGUUUGUUCAAGGACAAGAACUAACAAGUAACAGAGAUAGGACUUAUCUUUUUCUGACCUUCACUUUCCCUUUCUGUGACAAAACUGGUCUUAGGAACUGUGUUGAGCAGAGCCUUCUGUGGGCGUGAGAGCGGCUUGGAGGUGUCAAAGAAAAAUUGCAUCCGAUAUAGUUAAACAGACAAGGGGGAAUUAUUCAAGGCUAUUGCAAUAGGGAAGAGAGAGAGGGAGGGAGAGGGGAACUAGUAGAAGACUAGUGGAGGAGAUUAGGAUGGGAAGUUGGUCAGUGUAAUGAGGCCAUUUGUGUUUCCUAAUUGGAACUUAUUAAAGUUAGGCUCCUCCUCUCCACAAACACUAGGAGAUAGGGACCCUUUUUUCCUUGAUGAUUACAUUUCAAAGGGAUGCCUCACAGAUCCCUGAGAAAGAUCCCCAGGCUGUAAAACCCAGCAAGAGGCGGAGAGAUUUACAUGUCAAAGGGUCAGAGGAAACAUUCACCAAUGGAAGUUGGCUAAAGUAAAUGCUCUGAGAAAAGGAAGGUCUGGGGCCUACAGUUAGGAAGAAACCUGUCUAAAGUUUAGUUAAGCUGAGGGGAAUGUUAAGGCCAUUUGGUCACCGUAAGCAGUACCACAUUUCCUUGCCUCUCCCGGGAGCCAGGUCUCAGUGUCCCCAAUAGGG